rfam:Xenopus laevis strain J chromosome 5L, whole genome shotgun sequence.
ACAAAGGCUCUUUUCAGAGCCACCCACACCUGCUAAAAAGGCUGAU